GUGAACGCUGGCGGUAGGCCUAACACCUGCAAGUCGCACGGCAGCACAGUAAGAGCUUGCUCUUCCGGGUGGCGAGUGGCGGACGGGUGAGGAAUACAUCGGAAUCUACUUUUUCGUGGGGGAUAACGUAGGGAAACUUACGCUAAUACCGCAUACGACCUACGGGUGAAAGCAGGGGAUCUUCGGACCUUGCGCGAUUGAAUGAGCCGAUGUCGGAUUAGCUAGUUGGCGGGGUAAAGGCCCACCAAGGCGACGAUCCGUAGCUGGUCUGAGAGGAUGAUCAGCCAAACGGGAACUGAAACACGGCCCAGACUCCUACGGGAGGCAGCAGGGGGAAAUAUUGGACAAUGGGCGAAAGCCUGACCCAGCCAUACCGCGUGGGAGAAGAAGGCGUUGGGGUUUUAAGGCCUUUUGGUGGGGAAAAAAAAGAAGCAGGUUAAUACCCCGCUGUCCGGAGGGUACCCAAAGAAUAAGCACCGGCUAACUUCGUG
rnacentral:rRNA from 1 species